UAGUCCGUACGAGCGCACCCUUGUCCCUAGUUGCCAGCACUUCGGGUGGGAACUCUAGGGAGACUGCCGGUGAUAAGCCGGAGGAAGGUGGGGAUGACGUCAAGUCAUCAUGGCCCUUAUGGGCAGGGCUACACACGUGCUACAAUGGCCGGUACAGAGGGCAGCGAAGCCGCGAGGUGGAGCGAAUCUCAGAAAACCGGUCGUAGUCCGGAUUGCAGUCUGCAACUCGACUGCAUGAAGCCGGAAUCGCUAGUAAUCGCGGAUCAGAACGCCGCGGUGAAUACGUUCCCGGGCCUUGUACACACCGCCCGUCACACCAUGGGAGUGGGCUGUACCAGAAGUAGGUAGUCUAACCUUCGGGAGGACGCUUACCACGGUGUGGUUCAUGACUGGGGUGAAGUCGUAACAAGGUAGCCCUAGGGGAACCUGGGGCUGGAUCA
rnacentral:rRNA from 1 species